AUGUUCGAGCCAACGACCCCCGCCCUUGCUGGGAAGGGCUUCGGGGCGCGGCAGCGCUGGAAGAUGCUUCUCUCGCUGGGGCUGGGCGUCGCCGGCGCCGGCUACGCCGCCUACCGCUUCUACAACGCGCACCAGAAGAAGCUAGUCCAGGUGGAGGAGGAGGAGGAUAUCAUCAAGCAACAGUUGCAAGGCCAGUUUGAAGAGGUGAAGGAGGAGCAGGAGGAAGGGAAGGAGGAGCAGGAGGAGCAAGGGGAGGAGGAGGAGGAGCAGCAGCAGCAAGUUCUUCCUCCUUUGCCGGAGGCAGACAGAGAUUGGAAGUCUUACUACUACCGCAACUGGGAUCACGUUCUACCUCCACCAACAUUGCAGCUCGCAAGUAGUCUGCCUCGCAUCCCCAGACAACCACACAAGACAAAAUGGAGUGGAGUAUGCUCCUUGCACUGCUAUGGCGAAACACUCACAGCGUUGUUACGGUUGGUCUACCGUCAAGACGGGGGCUUCAAUGUCGAUCAUUUGGCAUUGAUUCUCUCUGCUGCUGGCCAGGGAUUCCUUAGGGAAACAGGAGCAAGCAUUUAUGACAUAUCUCUGUUGAUUGCUCAGACUGGUAUUCCAUUUGAGCCCAGUAGCAUCCCAGCUUUCUUAUUCCCAAGUGAUGUUGUGCUGGAGCCGCAGCAUCGGGUGUACGCUCACGGUCUGUCGAUAACGUAUGGCUCAGCCCAGACGCUUCCACUUACUCAGGAGCCGUGGACCGAAGAGGCGAUUGCUCAAGGGCUUUGCCGUGACUCGACACGUGACCUGUUUGAGAAGGUUAUGAAAUUUCGCGAGUCACUAUGCAAGGUCAUCGAUGCCGGUCCCAUUGCUGUCACGCUGAAUCCGCAGCGCCACUAUUAUGACAUCCGUUCGGAUGAUGAGCCUUACAGGUUAAAAGCAAAUGGAGAAUACAUUAUGAUCAAGUUACCCAACGGCAAUGAGAUAAAGGCAGGGCAUGUCGUAACAGUGUACGGGUACGCAUGCCCGGGAGGCGAUGUGCGGAGUUUACUCCUCAACUAUCAAGAGAAUACAGUGAGGGCGCCAGCGCGAAACCAAGAUGAGGCCGCGGUGCCACAAGACCAAGUCAAUCCUGGCCGACAUCUAAUGGAUCCGGAUGCGUUCUAUGGCUACUACACACCGGGCGGCCUCAAGAACAUCAAAUUCACACUGAAGUAG
rnacentral:rRNA from 1 species